GAAAGAUGGCUUUGGCUAUCACUCUGGGAUGGACCUGCGGUGCAUUAGCUAGUUGGUAAGGUAACGGCUUACCAAGGCGAUGAUGCAUAGCCGAGUUGAGAGACUGAUCGGCCACAAUGGAACUGAGACACGGUCCAUACUCCUACGGGAGGCAGCAGUAGGGAAUCUUCCACAAUGGGCGCAAGCCUGAUGGAGCAACACCGCGUGAGUGAAGAAGGGUUUCGACUCGUAAAGCUCUGUUGUUGGAGAAGAACGUGCGUGAGAGUAACUGUUCACGCAGUGACGGUAUCCAACCAGAAAGUCACGGCUAACUACGUGCCAGCAGCCGCGGUAAUACGUAGGUGGCAAGCGUUAUCCGGAUUUAUUGGGCGUAAAGCGAGCGCAGGCGGUUGCUUAGGUCUGAUGUGAAAGCCUUCGGCUUAACCGAAGAAGUGCAUCGGAAACCGGGCGACUUGAGUGCAGAAGAGGACAGUGGAACUCCAUGUGUAGCGGUGGAAUGCGUAGAUAUAUGGAAGAACACCAGUGGCGAAGGCGGCUGUCUGGUCUGCAACUGACGCUGAGGCUCGAAAGCAUGGGUAGCGAACAGGAUUAGAUACCCUGGUAGUCCAUGCCGUAAACGAUGAGUGCUAGGUGUUGGAGGGUUUCCGCCCUUCA
rnacentral:rRNA from 1 species